CAUCUACAACUACAAUUUUAGAGAGCUACUUGCCCAUCCUAUUUAAAUUUUUUAAAGAGUUACAAGCUUGUCUUAUAGCUUUCAAAGAAUUAGCUUGAUGUGGUGAAGGUCAAAUGACAUUUGAUGUAAUUCUGUAUGGGUAGUUCAAUGACAAUUUUCUAGAGGUUAAGAAGCUCUACAUUCAGAGGAAAGAUUAAAUCAAAUAGUCGAAAAAGAUCUAAUGACAGAGUGACUUAGUUAAAUGAGAAGAAAUGGUCUACGUUGCACUCAUCUGUAGACAUUUUAGGUGACUCUGUUGAUUAUGUGUAAUUGCAUAUGCCU